GGCAUAAUCUGGUUUCAUUUACACCUAUUUACACGGACACCUUGGGCCAAUGGAAAUCAUUUCCAUUUGAAGACAGAAAAAGGGGGCGAAAGAGGCUCGGUUACCGGAUGGCACUCAGUGUGUGAAGGGAAAUGCCUGGUCUCCACGGAGGGCUGGCAGAACUAAAGACCAGAGCAGCACAAUGCACAACAACAGUAGAGGCCAAAUAUGAACUGGAGCUGUGACAAACUAGGCUGAAGGAGGAAACAACUUUAUUUUGCCGCCACACACAGCAAGCAGAAUGAUGGAGGUAAAACAAUCUCCAAAGGUCACUCUGGGAGAACUGCAGGAAAGAGCACAAUCUUGGAUCAGAUGCAAAACUUCACAGGAUUGAUGUUAUCAUACUGUUGCUCAGUUACUAUGGCAUGAACGUCCAUUGCUAUGUUGUGUUAUCUUGACGGUCUUGACUAAUUUAAAAAUCCACUGUAGAUUUUCUGUUGAUUUCCUUAAUGGCUUUUUUUUUUAAAAUAUUGCUUUGUGUUUGUUUUUAAGUAUCUAUCAAUAAAAAAAU